CAAAAGUUUUGGUCCUGGGCUAACCGUUGUUUUUUAUUAAGUUUAUACAUGCAAGUUUCAACACACCAGUGAAAAUGCCCACAAUACCUAAAAAGAUGAACGGAGCAGACAUCAGGCACCACUAAGAGCCCACAACGUCUUGCUACGCCACACCCCCACGGGUAAUCAGCAGUAAUAAACAUUGAACCAUAAGUGAAAGCUUGAUUCAACUAUAAUAUACUAGGGCUGGUUAAUUUCGUGCCAGCCACCGCGGUUAUACGAAAGGCCCAAAACAACGAUUGAUGGCGUAAAGUGUGGCUAGAGAUUUAUAUACCUUAAAUAUUAAAACCCGCCACUCAGCUAUAAAAUACUUAAGAGGCAGAGAAAACCAACACAAAUAUUUUGAUAAUAUAUUCUUGAAUACACGAAAGCUUAGAAACAAACUAGGAUUAGAUACCCUACUAUGCUAAGCACUAAACACUGAGAGAUCAUCCUACAACACUCUCCGCCAGAGAACUACAAAUGAAAAAUUUAAAACUCAAAGGACUUGACGGUGUCCCAUAUCAACCUAGAGGAGCCUGUCCUAUAAUCGAUAACCCCCGCUUCACCCAACCCUAACUAGCACCACUCAGCCUAUAUACCGCCGUCGACAGCCUACCCCAUGAAGGAUAAAUAGUAGACAGAAUAGCCCAAACGCUAACACGUCAGGUCAAGGUGUAGCAAAUGUUAGGGGAAGAGAUUGGCUACAUUUUUUAAUACUAAAAAAUACGAAAAGUACUAUGAAACAGUUCAUGAAGGCGGAUUUAGUAGUAAAAUAAAUUAGAGUAUUUAUUUUAACACUGCUCUGGGACGCGUACACACCGCCCGUCACCCUCCUCAAUAAUAAUUAACCUCAUACAUAAACUAAAAGUAAAAACAGAGGAGGUAAGUCGUAACAUGGUAAGCGUACCGGAAGGUGUGCUUGGACUAA
rnacentral:ncRNA from 1 species